rnacentral:lncRNA from 1 species
CGAUUAUCCCUGCUAAGCCGGUGGAACCGACUCGCUGCCUCCACAGAUCGUGUUUUUACGAAGGAGACACUGCCCAUUGGAAUGGAUGGCACUGCAGGUGUGCUGCACCCAAAUCCCACCUUGGUUAUUAUCUGCCACGAGCACUGGGGCAAUGCCACUCUCACUCCAUCUGUGCUACAGAACUACCAGAACGUCCCCUCCAUGGCACAGUCAUUUCACCAGAACUGCAGUGAAAAUCUCUCUGCGCCGGAGUCUGUAAGAAUUUUGCUGUCAAUUUUAA